rnacentral:rRNA from 1 species
GAUGAACGCUGGCGGCGUGCCUAACACAUGCAAGUCGAGCGAACAGACGAGGAGCUUGCUCCUCUGACGUUAGCGGCGGACGGGUGAGUAACACGUGGAUAACCUACCUAUAAGACUGGGAUAACUUCGGGAAACCGGAGCUAAUACCGGAUAACAUGUUGAACCGCAUGGUUCAACAGUGAAAGACGGUCUUGCUGUCACUUAUAGAUGGAUCCGCGCCGCAUUAGCUAGUUGGUAAGGUAACGGCUUACCAAGGCAACGAUGCGUAGCCGACCUGAGAGGGUGAUCGGCCACACUGGAACUGAGACACGGUCCAGACUCCUACGGGAGGCAGCAGUAGGGAAUCUUCCGCAAUGGGCGAAAGCCUGACGGAGCAACGCCGCGUGAGUGAAGAAGGUCUUCGGAUCGUAAAACUCUGUUAUUAGGGAAGAACAAAUGUGUAAGUAACUAUGCACGUCUUGACGGUACCUAAUCAGAAAGCCACGGCUAACUACGUG